UCCUCGGUGGCUCAAAUGGAUAGAGCGUCUGCCUUGUAAGCAGGAGAUCCUGGGUUCGAGUCCCGAUCGGGGCA
rnacentral:tRNA from 1 species